rnacentral:lncRNA from 1 species
AAAAAAGAUAGUUCAUCUCAUAAUUUGUUUGGAUAGCUUGUUUGGCUUUUUACACUAAGACAGAUGAUGCAUCUUGAUGGCUGAUCCAAGUGUUAAAAAUGUCUACUCUGUUUCAGAUAUUUCGUGGAAACAAUGAUGUAUCCACUGUUGUACGACAUGAUCUAGACCCUACAAUUAUGGCAAGGUACAUCAGGGUUCAUCCAGGUUAUGAUACGGGUAACAAUGUAUGUAUGAGGCUUGAGCUAUAUGGUUGUGUGGUUGAAGAAG